UCCCUGGUGGCUCAGAUGGUAAAGCAUCUACCUGUAAUGCAGGAGACCUGGGUUUGAUCCCUGGGUUGGGAA
rfam:TPA: Bos taurus chromosome 20, whole genome shotgun sequence.